rnacentral:rRNA from 1 species
CGUGAGGAACUUGCCCAUGAGCGGGGGACAACAUUCGGAAACGGAUGCUAAUACCCCAUAGGUGGAUUGGUCGCAUGACGAAUUCAUUAAAGGUGGCUUUGCUACCGCUCAUGGAUAGCCUCGCGGCGUAUUAGCUAGUUGGUAAGGUAAUGGCUUACCAAGGCAGUGACACGUAGCAGACUUGAGAGGGUGAUCGGCCACACUGGGACUGAGACACGGCCCAG